AGGGUUAAAUUCCUAAACAUACAAGAGAUAAGGGAAAAGAAAAUAAAACCACAUUAGGAGUUCCCCUCUUGAGAUCAUAUUGAUGAUCCAAGUAGCUCCCAUCCUUUGGAAUAAGUAGUCACAAACAAAUAUCUCAAGCCAUUAAGCACAGGUAAUCGGAAUAAACCUCCAGGGGGUAUCCCACAAAUAAAGUGGAACACCAGGCCAUCUCUGCAAGAGUCAUGUGAGG
rnacentral:lncRNA from 1 species